AUAUAUAUAUAUAUCAUGUUAAAUUAAGAGUCAUCCCACAGCUGCAAUAAAGCAAAAUAUGGCACCUAGAGCUUCCAUUUCUCAUAUUAUGCUCUCUGUCUUCUGUUUGACUUUGAUUUUUUUAGUCCCUCCAGGAACAGGUUCAACAACUUUACUCAACAUUUCUUACAAAAAUUCCAAGUAUUAGCUAGUUGUUGAAGAUCGAUUAACUGAUUUUACUCUUUUUUUGUUCUAUUUUUUAUAUUUACUUUGUUUCUCUUCAAAUUUUUUGGCGCAGAUGGUGGAAAUCUACCGGGAGAAGUAUCAGGAAGUACAUCACACCAUGGUCCAGGGCCUCACGAGGAUAACCCAACAGAGACAGAUAAUACUGUUUAUAGUCGAUCAUGUGCAAGCAGCUAUCGUUGUGAGCCUUAGAUACAUGGAAAUCAGCAGCUACAGAUAAUUAUAUAUAUUGUUCGAGUUUUGUUUAGUAUGCACCUGGUUGGAUUUUAUUUUUUGUGUUUGGAUCGUUAUGUAUUUGUCUUUGAAAUUAUGCUCAGUUAUAUUUAAGUUGAUGAAAAUCUAUUGCUUAUCAUAGAAUUUAUGCCCUUGCUAUGUUAGUUUAUUCUCUCCUAAAGUGGAAAUAUAUGCAUGAUUUAGAGGAUCUUGUGAGAAACUCUCCUAAAGAAAAAAAGGAUAAGCUAAAAGUUGUUAUAACUUAUAUGGGACAAAGGAUUAAGCUUUCAAGAAAAUACUCUAUUUCAUUUUAGGAAGGAUUGUUACAUGCGUUUGAAUUAAGAUGAAAUUUGUAAUAGCUAUUUUUAUUUGCGAAUCUUUAAUGCUAUCUAAUUCUGUUGUCAGCCCUAUUCAUAUCUUUUGAAUUUAUCACAUAUUCAAUACUUAUAUAUUGCCAGAAUAUAAUUUAAUGUUUUGGUCUCUUUAGCAAGUUUUGUGAUA
rnacentral:lncRNA from 1 species